CUGCUGUCCUGCCAAGGGCACCGCAGCGUAGCUAUGUCGGGAAUGGAUAACCUCUGAAAGCAUCUAAGAGGGAAGCCAACCCCAAGAUCAGAAUUCGUUUGAGGCCCGUAAGAGAUGAUUACGUUGAUAGGCUCUAUGUGUAAGACGAGUAAUCGUUUCAGCAGAGGAGUACUAAUACGCCGAUUCCU
rnacentral:rRNA from 1 species